CUGGUCAUUGAUGAUCAUAAAGUCUUGUUUGAGUUUCACGGCCAUGAGAUAACUACAUGCACUACCAUCUGAGACCAA